rnacentral:rRNA from 1 species
UACGGGGGGGGCAAGCGUUGUUCGGAAUUACUGGGCGUAAAGGGCUCGUAGGCGGCCAACUAAGUCAGACGUGAAAUCCCUCGGCUUAACCGGGGAACUGCGUCUGAUACUGGAUGGCUUGAGAUUGGGAGAGGGAUGCGGAAUUCCAGGUGUAGCGGUGAAAUGCGUAGAUAUCUGGAGGAACACCGGUGGCGAGGGCGGCAUCCUGGACCAACACUGACGCUGAAGCGCGAAAGCUAGGGGAGCGAACGGG